GACGAACGCUGGCGGCGUGCCUAACACAUGCAAGUCGAACGGAGUAAUUUCUUCGGAGAUUACUUAGUGGCGAACGGGUGAGUAACGCGUGAGAAACCUGCCUUUCAGUGGGGGACAACAGUUGGAAACGACUGCUAAUACCGCAUAAUGUUAUUUGGGGGCAUCCCUGAAUAACCAAAGCUUUAUGUGCUGAAAGAUGGUCUCGCGUCUGAUUAGCUAGAUGGCGGGGUAACGGCCCACCAUGGCGACGAUCAGUAGCCGGUCUGAGAGGAUGAACGGCCACAUUGGGACUGAGAUACGGCACAGACUCCUACGGGAGGCAGCAGUGGGGAAUAUUGGGCAAUGGGGGAAACCCUGACCCAGCAACGCCGCGUGAAGGAAGAAGGCCUUCGGGUUGUAAACUUCUUUUACCAGGGACGAAGAACGUGACGGUACCUGGAGAAAAAGCAACGGCUAACUACGUGCCAGCCGCCGCAGUAACAC
rnacentral:rRNA from 1 species